AGCUUUUCGAAUCUGUGCAGAGGUUUCGUCAGACACCAACCCACUAGGACUGAUCAGAUUUCCAAGAUAAGUGAAGUU
rfam:Schistosoma haematobium scaffold1693_3, whole genome shotgun sequence.